UGAACAAGGGGUUCAGUAUCAUUUCAGUCUUCUUGACUUUAUUGAGACUUGCUUUGUGGCCUAACAUGUGAUCCAUCCUGGGGA